rnacentral:rRNA from 1 species
UACAGAGGGUGCGAGCGUUAAUCGGAAUUACUGGGCGUAAAGCGUGCGUAGACGGUAGCGUAAGUCAGAUGUGAAAGCCCCGGGCUCAACCUGGGAAUUGCAUUUGAGACUGCUCUGCUCGGGUGACGGAAGAGGGAAGCGGAAUUUCCGGUGUAGCGGUGAAAUGCGUAGAUAUCGGAAGGAACACCAGUGGCGAAAGCGGCUUCCUGGUCCGACACCGACGUUCAGGCACGAAAGCGUGGGGAGCAAACAGG